CCCUACGGGGGGCAGCAGUGAGGAAUAUUGGUCAAUGGCCGGAAGGCUGAACCAGCCAAGUCGCGUGAGGGAAUAAGGCCCUAUGGGUCGUAAACCUCUUUUGUCAGGGAGCAAAGGCGUCCACGUGUGGACGAGAGGAGAGUACCUGAAGAAAAAGCAUCGGCUGACUCCGUGCCAGCAGCCGCGGUAAUACGGAGGAUGCGAGCGUUAAUCGGAAUUACUGGGCGUAAAGCGCUCGUAGGCGGUAUGUCAAGUCAAGGGUGAAAUCCCCGCGCUCAACGUGGGAACUGACUUUGAAACUGGCA
rnacentral:rRNA from 1 species